ensembl:lncRNA
CAAAUUGAGUAGAGAAGGCAUUAGAAAUUCAUUAAUUACGUGUGCUAAUUUCAUCUUGAUUGGAUAAACAGACAAACUCGCUUGAUUGACGCGUCCAUUGUUGUGCAGCAGCGCUACACUUUUAUCAUCCGUUGUUAACGGCAACUCAAGUUGUUUUGUGCAAUUACAGAGUGGCUGAGGAUUAAAGAAUAAUGUCCAAUGGAAGCGUAGCAUCGUGACUGUUACACACACACUGGGAAUGAAUCUAAAAUGUGUUUUCAUCCGGGCUGCGCAUAAAGUAAAGAUAUACAACACACGCACAAAUACGUGUGUGUGUGUGUGUGUGUGCAUGAAUUGGCCUGUCUUCUCGGUGACGUGUGUGUGUGUGUGUGUGUGUCGUGUGAAUGGUUUCAUGCACGGUUGACGUGUAUCUUUGAGCUUUUAUAGGUUGGAAGGUGGACGGGAGGAGAAUAUAUUAUUAUUAUUAUUAUUAUUAUUAUUAUUACAUCAAACACUGUGAUGUGUGUCUUUAAGGAAACAACAAGAUCACUUCUCAUUUCUGAAGGUUCUGCUCUAGUCCGCUACAUUCCAAACAAUAUUUAUUAUUAUCAUUAAUUCUUCAUAUAGCACAACAGUGACUUAGCGUGUAGCGAUUUGAAGAACAUCUCCAAUGCUUGCUACACUUAUACUAACGUUUUGGCGUUUGACGUUGAACGUGGACGUCUUUGCGUUGGGUUGAUUUCCCUUCGACUCGUCCCCUCUGUGCUCAUGGCGACUAAUUCUGCCUCCGGUCUCCAAAGACUGCGUACAAACACGCGCACACACGGGACCCACGUCACUUUUGCUCCCCUUCGCACAUCCUGCUCAUUAUCAAUGAACCUGGCAGGGCGAACGCAGUAUUAAUACAGCAGAUCAGCAGCCGCAUGAUCCUUCUGUAGCUUUUCUCAUUAUACAGGAAUAUAGAGGUCAGUAUUAUAAAGAAAUGAAACAUUUUCCGCCACACUUGCAGCGCCUGUGAGUGUGUUUGACAGCAGCGGACUGUGUGUGUGUGUGUGUGUGUGUGAGACUCAUUAAUAAUGCAUGAGGUGGGAGGGGUGAAGGAGAGGGGGCGGUGACAGAUGGAGAAUCAGUGUGUCAGAGAGGGAGAGAGAGGGAGGGAGAGAGGACGCACCGAGAGACAGCGAGAGCAAAGUGAGAGCGAGAGAAAGGGGUCGAGAGUGAGGGGGCCGGGAAGGAGACGGAGCGAGUGGUCCACACUUAAUACAUCCGCCGUCUUUGUGUCUCCGCGCUGGACCAGAGACGCCGGGUCUUUGUGUCUGUCGGAUGCUGAAGGUGUUGAUGGGGAUGGAGAGAGAACACAGCGGCUCUGCACUGCUCUACACCUGGACGCAAGAGCUGCACUGACGGAGGUACGCUGUGUGUGUGUGCGUGUGCGUGUGUGUGUGUGUGUGUGAGGGGCAGGACACUCUGACCGCCUUCCAGUUUGACUUUUUAUUGUCUGUCCAGUGAAGCCACGGUGAAAGACGCGUGUGGAUGAAUCCGUUUCACAGCCUCGUGGUACUUUGUGUACUCCUCACCGCUCUCGCCUCCUCAGUACUGAAGACACUUUUACUGGAGAUUGUGUCCGUAGCAACCAAGUAUGUGACACCCUCAUCAUUUUAAAGCUUCAGGGGGAACUUAUGUUAUAUAUUUCACCCACAUUGUCUCAUCUUUACUUCAACGCUGGCUGUUACAGUGAUCAUUCAGGAUGAUCACACACACACACACACACCCACACACACACACACACAAUCAGUCAGUCGGCUCGCUUCAUCGCAAAAUUAUGGAUUGUCGUGUCUGUGUGUUUUCUCAUUAGCCACAAUCAGUCUAACAGCUGCUGCCUGUUUUUCUGUUUUUCUCGAUCUCUGGACUUGAUAUGAAAAGGUUCUUACUGUACAUGUACGUACACGAGGGCCCCCAUGUCACAUGCUGAGGGUCUCAUAUGAGUAUACUCUGUAAUAUUAUUAUAUAUAUUUUCUGUAAAUUGCAGCCUGGUCUCCUAGAAGUUACGUUUUGUACACAUAGAGCGUAUAUAUCCUCUGGGAUUACGUUGGCUUUAUCUAAUACUAACUAGGUCUGUCUGCAGGACUUUCACCCACGAGGCCGCUGUUUGUGUCCGUUGUGAAACCAGGAGAAACUCUCUGAACCCACAGCGUGAUCCUUCAACAGGCCUCGCCAAGACGCUCUAUUGAUAGUUGAGAAUGCUGCCUGGAAACGACUAGAACACUGUGAGCUGUUAAAACAUUUCGAGAUGAAACGUGUGUUUGGUUCAGCCGUGGAUUCACUAUGUACUAUUUUAUUAUGGCAAUUGUUUUUUUUUUUAAUUGGCCAACAAUCUUUGAUUCCACGUGUCAUUAUACUGUAUAUAUUCAUUAUUAUUUAGCUAAUUUUGACCCAACUGAUGGUUUCCCUGCUUACCUCCGGUCAGUAGACUACCACACGUUCUAAUUGGACCUUGUGUGGUCGGCCAAGGCCCAACAGACGGGUGCUAAAUGAAGCAGCUUAUUUCUAGCCUGCUGUAUAAUUCAUAAAACAUGGAAUCGUCCUGAUGGGAUGAACGUCCUCACUGGUCUUUCCUCCUCACAUUUACCUGAAAAACAACGCAGUUAUUCUGGCCAUUUCUCUCCUAAACCUGUAGCCGUAGCCGUUGUCCACGUCCAUCUUAAAUGGUAUUUACAGUAUUAUAGAUGUAUUAGUAUUAUAGUAUUAUAAUGUCUUAACCACUGUAAUACACGUCACGGUCCAUCAUUUCCUCUAUUUGAGACCCGGUGGGACCCAGCUGAACCAGUUCAGAACCAGCACAGAAAAGUCACCUGUCAUCAAUGUGUUAGUGCUGUGCAGAUGUGAGAACUCUGUAUCUAGAGUUUGGCUCGAUGGCACUGUGGCAGCAUUACGCUGAUAUUGAACCUCCGCCGAGGUCAACAAGACAAUAAGGGAGCUUAUGCAUCUUUUCAUGCUGCUCUUCAUCAGUAGAACUUAUAAGAGUACCUCAUGUUAACCUGUGUGUGUGUGUGUGUGUGUGCGUGGUGAAUGCAAGGCGGUCUGACUGCGCUGUUUGUUGCCCUGUAGGAGGAUUUAAACACUCGACACAUCUAUCAAACACGUGUCUGUGUGAGAUCACAUGCGUGUCUUUGUGUUUGCCGCUGGUGGGAGGAUUAGUACAUUAAUGCAUUUCAAGUGUUUGUUUUUUGUCAUGCGCAGGUGUGUGUGUGUGUGUGUCUUGUGGAGAGGUGUUUGUUGAGGGAAGUGGUUUGACAGUAGUGUGUACACACACACAACACAGACACACACACACAUACACAAAUACAGCCCUCCUUUGUUCGGCAGCCUUGUGGAGAGACGGUUAGUGGACCCACAAAAAAAAAAACAGAAAGGAAAAGGAGGGAGAGAAAAGGAGAGAGGGACCCUAAUGGACAACGACGGACCUUUCUCUGCAAAUAUUUGGUUUCAAACUCUCCAUCCCUUCCCCCUUUUCUCCCCCCUCUCUCUCCUCCCUUCUCCCCGUGGCCAAAGGGAACAGAUCAGAACACAUGGUCGCUGUGAUCUUCCCACAUCGCACGGCUUUUUUUGUUUUUUGACAGAACGGCGCUGAGGGCCUCGCGUCUGAUGCCACGUCGUUGGUGGGAUCAGAGAACGGGGUGUGGAUCGGACGGCUGUCUUCACCCAAGACUUUAACAUCAUUGUUCGAUUUCUGAUAUUCUGAUGUAGCUGGAAGGGAAACGUUGUUAAAAUGUCCAUGACUACAUGGCUCUUUGGUUUUUAUGGUCGUGGCCUUUAAUUCCAGCGAUCGAGAACCGUUGGUUCUACGAACGACGGUGGAACCAUAUUCUUUAUUUGUUCCCCGUUGCUGCUGCUUUGGACCGUCACAUUUACGUAACUAGAGAUUUAGCUGUAGAUGACUCUUCUUCUGCCAUGUCAAGAUAAUCUGCUGGUUCAACGUGUGUGUGUGUGUUUGUGUUGUGUGUGUCUGUGUCUCCCACACGUGUGCGAUUGCACCGGAUUAGCCCUCAUCAGCAGAAUGUUGACAGGAAACAAAACGUCGCAUGCAGCAGAAACCAACUUCCUGUCAUGAAAUAUUCUGUCUGUGUGCUGAGGUGAGCAGGAGGGACAUUUUAAAUACUCGCUGCUCUCCGGUAUCAUGUGGACACACUAGAAGAGGCUUUGCUCUGCUGCUCUUCGGCAAUCUCUUCUCCUUAAUUCUUGUUAUUUUGUCAUCAGGGGAAAAAAGAUAUGCAAUAUGCAUUGAAAUCAAGAGAAUAAAGCAGGGUUUCCUCUCUUAAAGGGGUCAGAGGAGUGAGAUAUGUAAAGAAGACCCAGCCGGCGCGAUUCCAGGUGGGAGUCCAGAUGUUGGGCCCGUGAGCCAGGUACUUAACCUACAUGCCUGUGUGUGUGUCUGCCACACUGGGACAUGGAGUCUAACGCUGUGGGACGUGGUAACCUAGAAGAAGCAGCGUGGUGAUGGGGGGGUUACAGAGAGGAGCGGCGACAGGAGGAGUGCUUUUACAAUCAAAGAGCCUUAUUGUCAAACUGUGGCUCUGGAUUUACAUAUAAAGGAAUAUGUUUGAAUGUGUUAUACUUAAAUGGAUAUCGCCUGCGGUCUGUAUCUGGUACCCGUGACUUCCCUCAGCUCCACCUGAAGCCCCCCCUCUGUGAGCGACGACAUUUCAAACCCCCGAAUGACUGACGGGUGAGCCGCGCCUGGUCCGGUCCGGCUGGUCGUCACGAGCAGUGAGACCAAAACUAAGCUCCUCACGCACAUUAGUGACGUGCCUCCGACCAGAGACGCAGACUGUCCUCAGCCAGGAGAACCUGAAGAUCCCCGCCGCAAGUAAUGGAAGAGCGGAGCGUGAAUCAUGAAUCCAUCAGAGUAAACGGAGCGAUGGAUGCCCUCAAUCUGAGAAGGCCAUUCGGGCCGGGGGGGGGGGGGGGGGGGGGGGGGACUUCUCGUGUGUUUUUCCACUCCAUGACUCCCCUGAUUGGUCGGGACUCGGGGCUCAGCUUGCCAUUGGCCGUCGCUCCACUCAGUCGUGAAAUGGUUCCUUUAAUUUGUGAGCAGUGAUGCUGCCGCGAAGUGUUGGAUAAACCUCCCCAGUAACAAAGAUAUGACGGACUGGGAUUUUAUUACUUGAGCUCCACUUUGUCCACUUCUGUUGUGUUUGUUACAUAAGAUGCCUCGGGU